UCAGACCCUUUGAGAUAAUUAAGUCCAGAGUGUGCCCCUUAUUGUGCGUGGGCUCCGUCACAUGCUGAGUCAGUCCAUAGUUAUCAAGAACACAAAAAAGUUCUCUAGCCCCUCUGUCCUGGGGGUUGUCAACAUGGAUGUUAAAAUCACCAACAAUGACUAGACGGUCAAAGUCAAUACACACUAAAGACAGCACUUUUGAUUUUAUAAGUAAG